rnacentral:rRNA from 1 species
UACGGAGGGUGCAAGCGUUAAUCGGCAUUACUGGGCGUACAGCGCACGCAGGUGGCUGAGUCAGUCGAUUGUGAACGCCCUGGGCUUAACCUGGGAAUUGCAGUCGAUACUACUUAGCUAGAGUAUGGGAGAGGACAGUGGAAUUCCCGGUGUAGCGGUGAAAUGCGUAGAUAUCGGGAGGAACAUCAGUGGCGAAGGCGGCUGUCUGGCCCAAUACUGACACUCAGGUGCGACAGCGUGGGGAGCAAACAGG